UGGAAAUGUAGUCAACAAUGACAUAUGAUUUGCACUCAUAAAGUGUUUAAUUCCUUAAACCCUUUUC
rnacentral:tRNA from 1 species